rnacentral:rRNA from 1 species
GACGAACGCUGGCGGCGUGCUUAACACAUGCAAGUCGAGCGGUAAGGCCCUUUCGGGGGUACACGAGCGGCGAACGGGUGAGUAACACGUGGGUGACCUGCCCUUAGCUCUGGGAUAAGCCUGGGAAACUGGGUCUAAUACCGGAUAUGACUCCAUGACGCAUGUUGUGGGGUGGAAAGCCUUGUGCGGCUAGGGAUGGGCCCGCGGCCUAUCAGCUUGUUGGUGGGGUGAUGGCCUACCAAGGCGACGACGGGUAGCCGGCCUGAGGGGCGACCGGCCACACUGGGACUGAGACACGGGCCCAGACUCCUACGGGAGGCAGCAGUGGGGAAUCUUGCGCAAUGGGCGAAAGCCUGACGCAGCGACGCCGCGUGAGGGAUGACGGCC